rnacentral:lncRNA from 1 species
UGGCUCUUUCAGCAGCAUUUCAUGUAGAUGAUCUGCAUGAACAGUGCCGCAUCUGUGGGAGCAGGAGAGAUGUUGCUUCCUUUUUCAACAAGUUUUCCAAAAUCAGAGAAAAUAGUGUGCUACUAUUUCUCAGGGAACCCCGUAAUUUAAGGCAAUACCACAGAAUGACAGCACUGGGGUGGUGAACAGCAGAAAGGGGUGUCCAUCCAUCCAUGCGGUACAUACAGUAGGAACUUUUAGGCUGUGGUCUGACGGAAAGUCUACGUGGAGUCAGAUUUCAGAGUUGGAGCACUGAACUGCAGUGAGUCACACAGAGAGCCUGAGAGCUGCCUUUGUUCCACUAGUGUCUGAAUGCUGGAGGAGAAACAGCAGGCUCCAGUUUUCAUUAACUUAUUUUCAGAAGUUUAAAAUUCAUGUUCACUGAGCUUUUUCCCCACUUGAGAUCUUUCAACUGACUUUCAAAAAAUGCUGCCAUGGUAAGAACUCUCACUUCUAAAUUAUUUUUUUAACCCUCAUGCUUCUGUAUUACACUCUUUUGUCUCAUUCUUUUCCUGCCCUCCUCUCUCCUCUUUUUUUUUUUUUCUUUUUUUUUUUUUGCACACCUGCUUCAGUCAUGCCUGGUGGACCCGGGACAUGCUACUAUUGUUCUUAGGCUUGUCAAUCCAUGCUGGUUCAGCAGCUCAGGUCAUAGAAGGGAAGCUGUUGGAAGUUAAGAGCUCAAAUUGCCAUUCCUUCUGGAAAAGAGAAAAUAAAGUAAAUGCAUUGCUCCCCAUGUGUAAGACAACCAAUAAUACCAGCCACAACAAGAAUGCGCCAAAGACCAACAGCCAACAAAAAGCACAGAAAAAAAAAAAAAAAGAAGAAAUCGUGUUGAGAGAGAAAAACCGACAAAAAAAAACAAA